rnacentral:rRNA from 1 species
UACGUAGGGCGCGAGCGUUGUCCGGAAUUAUUGGGCGUAAAGAGCUCGUAGGCGGCCUGUCACGUCCGCUGUGAAAUCCCGGGGCUCAACCCCGGGCCUGCAGUGGAUACGGGCUGGCUGGAGGCAGGCAGGGGAGAACGGAAUUCCUGGUGUAGCGGUGAAAUGCGUAGAUAUCGGGAGGAACACCUGAGGCGAAGGCGGGUUACUGGGCUGAUACUGACGCUGAUGCGCGAAAGCCAGGGGAGCAAACGGG